rnacentral:ncRNA from 1 species
UCAAGCUCAGGGAUUCAAUUAUCAUGGUGUAAAAGAGACAUGAGGGCUGUAGAAUAAGUGGGAGUCUAUGGCCUCUGGUGAAAUACCACUAUUCUUAUUGUUUUUUCACUUACCCAGUGAGGUUGGAAGACAAACUCUGAGUCAGGUCUUAGUUCUGACAUUAAGCAUCCCGUGUGUGUGGGGUGUGACCCGCAUCGGGGACAGUGGCAAGUGGGGAAUUUGCCUAGGACAGCACACCGGUCAAGUGGUAUCACAGGUUUCCAUAUACCACUGGAAACCUGUGGGCUAAGUGAGGACAGAAACCUCCCAUGAAGCAGAAGGGCAAAAGUUAUGACCUUGAUUUUCAGGAUGAAAACAGGCUGUGAAAUUGGGACUUCAUACGGAGGUGUGAGAAAGUUACCACAGAGAACACAGACUUUUAGUUAGUCAGUUAUCAUAGCAGUAUGGCUUUUUCACCCUUCAAUUUUUCAUACCAUUGUGAAGCAGAACUGACCAAGUCUUGGAUUGUUUUCCCAAUACUAGAUCAUGUAGAAACUAACAAG